GACCAGUUUUCACCUGACGCGCAUCUGCGUACAUGUACGGAAUGGUCAAGAAUGACAAAGGAAGGCCUGAUGGCCCUGUUUUAGUUUUAUAAGGUGUCUUCUUUAGCAAUAUUCUCGCUUGCCCAGCUUCGUUUACCGUGUUACUUUACCUGGGUAGGUGUGCUAUCAAGAUUGCGACAACCAUGCUCGAAGCCAAGAAACAGAUCUGGUAACGUGUAAUUGUGAAAUGCAGAACUUUAGAGGGCGCUGCGAAAGCCCGUGCGAGGAAACGCCAGCAAACUGCGAGUACCUGCUAACAUCUCGUGCUGUAGUGCUGUCGCCAGGUAUAGUCAUUAGCGUUGCGUCCUCCACUGGAUUCACUGCAGGCAAGGUUUGGUUAACCCGCAACGGAGAACUGCUGUGCAGCACCGGAGCCCGAACAGAUACGACAGCGACGAACUGUGGCUGAGCAGGGUGAUAUUAUCGACAGUCGAUGUUGAUCCCAUAGAAAGUUAGCCCCAGCCCUUCUCAGCAUCUGCGAUGAGCCAAGCAGACUUGGACGUGCUGUGCGAUGUACUGACGCUAAUGUCCAUGGAAGAACUACAGUCCCUGGAGGAUUCCAACAUCCCGUGGAUACCAGUCCUGAGGAAUGGUACGCACAUGGAGGCUGUCCGCUCCAUUCGACUUGCCCUGGAAGCUGUCGCCCUUCUUGACACCCGUACCUUCCUCGUUGCCUGGCUCUACUGCUGCCUCGCUGAGAGGCAGGCGCUUCGCUCCUGGCGUUCGUAUCGUUCCAGCAGUUUCCUCACUACCGCUGAGGACCUGAUGUCCGUCCGCUUCGUUCUGCACGAGCGAUUGGAGACCGUUUUCAAUAAUUCGGGCUGCCAUACCAAGUGCGCUAAAACCGAGAGAGCAGGUAUCAUCUACGCCUGCGUCAUGGCCUCACGUCCCGGGGACAGAUUCAAACACGACGUCAUCUGCAUGUGCGUUCAGCGUUCGCUGCCGUAUCUGUUCGUACAUUCCACAACGAGUUGUGAGUGGCGUGUCACUGCCGCUCUCCACGUAGUUCUGCAAAUAAUUCCCGAAGAACUACUCGAAGGCAAUUUCGUCAAACUCAGUUUAGCACUGGAGAGUGCCCGGCAGCACAGGGCAUAGGUUGAUGCAUUCUUUAUGAAUAACAAGACAGGACGCCUCUUAAAUACUUCUGACCGAGAAGAACAGACAGCGGUCAAGGAACCUGACCAGGCUUCUCGCAAGAGAAGCCGGCCUUCUGCCGAAACAACUAUCGUGGAUUACAUUACCAUGCACUGCGUGUCUUCUGACCCCGCCAUCUGAUAACUCAACCACUGGCGAAGCCACUCCCCAUUUACUCAAUGGAAAGAAUGUUGAGAUGGGCACGGCAUAACCCAGGACAGUUCCAGUAGCAAGCGAAGGGAGCGGCGCACUUAAGGGCAUUUUCAUCUGCCAAUACUGCCACAAGGUCCUUUACGAGGGCUCUAACUAAACGAAGAAGACUUCCUUCGCUUCUCCAAGCCGCGGAAGCGAACGGGGCACAGAACGUGCGUACUGCAUUUGUGAAAGGUGCCCGAACAGGGACACAGUGUUGUGAAGUGAAUUGAGCACUGAUCAUUUUUUUAUGAAAAAGGGUCAACUCUACGAAGGCAACGUCAUUCGAAGCAGGAGCCCUUCAAUCCUUACCCUGCAGCCGAUGAUGAGCGCUGGUGCCGAAUCCGCUUGACGUUAUCCCAAACAUGCACUCUGAAUAUUGACGACUACACAUGUCUUCACUGAUGUUAAAGCGAAAAUUCCCUUGUGACCCACGUUUCUUACGCCCGACUUCAUCAUUGACUAGAGUAUCUAAAUUACUGCCAUUUUUAAAAAGCGCGAAUACGUAGACGCUAUGAGCUACUGUAUUUAGAACGGGAGUGCUUACUGCAAAGCUGACCUUUCUAGCCCGCGAAAAUUUAAUUCAGAGGGUUGAGGUUCGGACUGUUAAGCUUUCUGCUCAGUGUUCUUACAUUUCUGACGUGUUUCUUGUGAAAUAAACUUGACUUUAUCUGUAUAUUGCUGUACUGUUAUUUAAUAAAUUUGAUUGUUCGCCCUUGA